UACGGGGGGGGCAAGCGUUGUUCGGAAUUACUGGGCGUAAAGGGCUCGUAGGUGGCCAACUAAGUCAGACGUGAAAUCCCUCGGCUUAACCGGGGAACUGCGUCUGAUACUGGAUGGCUUGAGUUUGGGAGAGGGAUGCGGAAUUCCAGGUGUAGCGGUGAAAUGCGUAGAUAUCUGGAAGAACACCCGUGGCUAAGGCGGUUCUCUAGUACGGUACUGACGCUGAGACGCGAAAGCGUGGGGAGCGAACAGG
rnacentral:rRNA from 1 species